ensembl:lncRNA
CAACGGGAAGAGAAUAUUUGGCGCGGAAACUUCUGUUGUGUUGAGCUGUGUACCAAGAGAGAGAUGAAGGUUGUCAAUAAAUAGCAAUGGCUCCGGCUUCUAACACAUAGAAGCAUCGCACCUGGCAUUGAUGAGCCUGGAAAGAGUGGCGAUAACAUCAUUAUUGGCAGUGGCAUCUGGGCCCAGUUCCAAACAUGCCUUUCUUGGAAGCUGGAGGUUUGCUUUAAAGGUUAAAGGCAAAGAAGGAAAAUCCUCGUCUGACACGGUCGCAGUUGCAAAUGAGAACUUGUUCUCAACUAGCCUACCUGGUUAAAUAAAGGUGAAAUAAAAAAACUUGUCGCCAAACCCACUGGCUCCAGGUCAUCUACAAGACCCUUCAGGGGAUGACUGGUCUGGCAGCUCAACAGAGCCAAGGGAGAGAAGGUCAAAUACGAGGUGGCGGAUUUGACCAGUGUGUAUGAAGAGGUGGACGAGGAACUCUCGGAUGGCGAGAGAGGCAGAACGGUGACUGGAUCGUUGAUGAUGUUUUCUUGAAGAUCACUCCGUGACACACACAAUGCAGUGGUUCAGCAGAAGAUGAUGCGCUGUCUGCCGCUGACUUCCCACUCGCCGUCUCUCGCCGCUGUCAUCAAAUGGACUCAUGCUAGCAACAAGUUCUGACUGAGCUCUAUUGUCAUGAAAUGCCAUACAACUGCAGAGUUUCUCUCUUUCUCAUACAAAGUUAUAACGAGGAGCGCCCACAAUGUGUUCUGUGUGGGGAAAGUGCUUACUGAUGAGUCUCUCAUAACGAACAAAUGAGUAAAAGGACACGCCCUGACCAAACAUCCACAGCAUGAUGGUAAACCCAGAGAGUUAUUUCAGAACAGGGCAGAAUGCUUCAGGAAACAGUGGUUCAGGAAACAGUGCUUCAGGAAACAGGGCUUCAGGAAACAGUGCUUCGGGAAACAGGGCUUCAGGAAACAGUGCUUCGGGAAACAGGGCUUC